rnacentral:tRNA from 1 species
GAAACAGUGGCUGAGUGGUUAAAGCGAUAGACUGUAAAUCUAUUGGUUAAGUCCGUCGUUGGUUCGAAUCCAACCUGUUUCA